GCUGGGCACAGUGGCCCACGCCUGUAAUCCUAGCAGCUUGGGAGGCUGAGGCAGGAGGAUGAUGAGUUCAAAGCCAGCCUCAGUUAUUUAGUGAGGCCGUAUGCAAUUCAGUGAGACCUUGUCUCUA
rnacentral:sRNA from 1 species